GUGCUCACUUCAGCAGCACAUAUACUAAUAUUGGAACCACAAAGAGAAGAGUAACAUGGCCCAGUGCCAGGAUGAUACGCAAAUCUUUGGACACCACUGCAGUACAA
ensembl:snRNA U6 U6 spliceosomal RNA